CUGGAAGAUGGAUAAAAUGGAAAUUGGUUGUGACUUCCUCUCUGUUCACCUGAUGAAUGCAGUGAAGAAUGAUGCCGUUUCAAAAGAUGUGAAUUUUGACCUUGCUGGAUAUCUAGGGAAACCUGGCUAGUGGAUGGGAUAACAGACUAAGCAGGGGAGAGAAUUAUGUUGGAGUAUCAACGCUGGCACAAGGGGAUGAAGGAAAGCCUUUUUGUCUUUGCUUGGGAGCGAGCUGUCAGAGCUACUCAUCUGCUUGCAGACUGGUGACCUUGCUGGCCAAAGGCAGCUGUUGGAGGUAACCCGUUGUAAACGAGUACUCCCAGAUGGAGACUUCCCCAAAAUGCUUUCCAAGGAAAGGUCUAAUUUACAGUUUUUCUUUUUUCCCAGAUGCUUACGUUGGUGAUUAGCAUGGUGAGGUUAGUCUGCCAACAGUUACGUCAGUCACAAAGCCCUGGUGUAGUUAUAUUGGCAGCAAAAUGACAGUGAUAAAUGAUAUAGUGUAUUUUAUGGGGGGCGAUGAGGGAGGAAGGAUGGGGAAGAACAUUUGAACAAGCUUUUCUGGUCAAGUACUGUUCUUCUGGUAUAAAAUGGAAACUGUAGUAGGAAUGUUUUCCUAUUUUAAUAUGAUGUGUGAACAGACCAUCCUGUAAAAAUAGGACAAAUGUGUUUUUUCUUAAUUUUAUAUUUCACGGGGAAAAAUAUGACCUGCAAAUUUAACACCUCUGUGUUUACAG
rnacentral:lncRNA from 1 species